AAAAGCCUAUAUGUGUGGAACAAGGACAGAAACUAGCAAAAGAGAUAGGAGCAUGCUGCUAUGUGGAAUGUUCAGCUUUAACCCAGAAGGGAUUGAAGACUGUUUUUGAUGAGGCUAUCAUAGCCAUUUUAACUCCAAAGAAACACACUGUAAAAAAAAGAAUAGGAUCAAGAUGUAUAAACUAUUGUUUAAUUACGUGAGAAACAUCUUCAGUGGCCAAGGAAACUGUCCAUUUCUCUCAGAAAGCAAAUGAAAUGCUGCAGCUAUACCCAGACCUUUUAUAGGCCAAUUCCAGCAGUUUAAAAGGUUUCCUUUCAGCUGUGAGACUGGCUCAUAGAGGCUGUAAUGUUGAUACACCAGUUUCAACGCUCACACCAGUGAAGACUUCAGAAUU
rnacentral:sRNA from 1 species